rnacentral:rRNA from 1 species
CGCCGCCGGCCGGACGUCCUCGAGGCGGACCGAGCCGGAGCGCUCGCGUCGGGACCCGAAAGGUGGUGAUCUAUCCGUGCGCGCGGCGAAGCGGGGAAACCCCGGUGGAGGCCCGUCGACGGUACUGACGUGCAAAUCGUUCGUCCGACGUGCGAAUAGGGGCGAAAGACCGAAUCGAACCUCCUAGUAGCUGGUUUCCGCCGAAAUUUCCCUCAGGAUAGCGGCCAUCGCGGAAACGUUUUGACCGGUAGAGCGAACGACUAGAGGUACCGGGGCCGUAACGGCCUCGACCUAUUCUCGAACUCCGAACGGGCAAGGAGCCGGGGUCGCCCGAUCGGACCCCGGACGUGAAGUCGACGAUGGUCGGUGGGCUGGGUUUUGGUAAGCAGAACGGGCGAUUCGGGAUGAACCGGAAGCGGGGAGAAAGGGCCCGAGAUUGCGUCGACGCGGAUCCCG